ensembl:lncRNA novel transcript
CUUUUUAAUUAAGCUAUUGUAAUUAAUAGCUGUUUACUUGGAUCAUUUCUUAUUUUUGUGAUGCCUGCCUUGAGACUGAUUUCUAGAAGUGAGGUUGCUGGUCAAAGGAUUAAGUAACUCCUCCAUGAGCACUCAGCUAGUACAACUUCUCCAGAACACUGAGCUAUCGCUAAAGAGGAGCUGUGGACAUCUAAUCUACCAACAUCAAGCAAUAGCCACCACCAGGAGAAACACACCUGACCCUGUAAGAUUCUUUUACAUAGGAGUCACGGGUGCGGGGAAUUGAAGAAGGGGGAAAUUGGGGAAUGGGAAGUAGUAUCAUUUUGUGUUGUCCAUCAUGCUCAAGUGCCUAUUAAAAAGCCUGCUUAUUUAUUGGUAAUGA